rnacentral:misc_RNA from 1 species
AACGCAUAUUGCGCCCUUUGGUAUUCCGAAGGGCAUGCCUGUUCGAGCGUCAUUAUCACCCCUCAAGCCCCCCGGGGUUUGGUGUUGGACGGUUUGGUCUUGGGUUUGACGAGACCCCUCCUAAAAUCAACGACGGCGGCCUGUGCGACCCCCGGUACACUGAGCUUCUUAACUGAGCACGUAUCGGCCUAGACAGGACCCGGUCUUCUUCCUUAACCGGAAAAUCUCUCUCAAGGUUGACCUCGGAUCAGGUAGGGAUACCCGCUGAACUUAA